AGAGCGAACGCUGGCGGCAUGCUUAACACAUGCAAGUCGCACGGGCACUUCGGUGUCAGUGGCGGACGGGUGAGUAACGCGUAGGUAUCUAUCCUUGGGUGGGGGACAACUGUGGGAAACUACAGCUAAUACCGCAUGAUAACUGAGGUUUAAAGGCGCAAGUCGCCUGAGGAGGAGCCUGCGUACGAUUAGCUAGUUGGUGGGGUAAAGGCCUACCAAGGCGACGAUCGUUAGCUGGUCUGAGAGGAUGAUCAGCCACAUUGGGACUGAGACACGGCCCAAACUCCUACGGGAGGCAGCAGUGGGGAAUAUUGGACAAUGGGCGCAAGCCUGAUCCAGCAAUGCCGCGUGUGUGAAGAAGGUCUUCGGAUUGUAAAGCACUUUCGACGGGGACGAGUGAUGACGGUACCCGUAGAAGAACGCCCGGCUAACUUCGCGCCAGCAGCCGC
rnacentral:rRNA from 1 species